rfam:Monodelphis domestica chromosome 1, whole genome shotgun sequence.
AUACUUACCUGGCAGGGGUAAUUCCAUGAUCAUGAAGGUGGUUUUCCCAGGGUGAGGCUUAUCCAUUGCAUUCUGGAUUGGCUGACCCCUGUGAUUUCCCCAAAUGCAGGGAAAUUUGACUGCAUAAUUUGUAGUAGUGGGGGACUGGGUUCUUCCCUGU